UUCGCAAUGCCCGAAAGGGUGACGAUGCGACGCCGCGUGGAGGAUGAAGGCCUUCGGGUUGUAAACUCCUGUCAGGGCAAAAGAAAGGGAGGGGAGGAAACUCCCUGACCUUGACUCAGCCCAAAGGAAGCCCCGGCUAACUCCGUGCCAGCAGCAGCGGUAAAACGGAGAGGGCGAGCGUUGUUCGGAAUUACUGGGCGUAAAGGGCACGUAGGCGGGUCUGUAUGUCAGGGGUGAAAGUCCUCGGCCCAACCGGGGAAAGUCCCCUGAAACCGCAGGUCUGGAGCGAGGCAGGGGGGGAGUGGAACUCUCGGUGGAGCGGUGAAAUGCGUUGAUAUCGAGGGGAACGUCGGCGGCGAAAGCGACUUUCUGGCCUGUAACUGACGCUGAGGAGCGAAAGCCAGGGGAGCGAACGGGAUUAGAUACCCCGGUAGUCCUGGCCCUAAACGAUGGGCACUAAGUAGAGGGGUUUU
rnacentral:rRNA from 1 species